UCUUUUAAUUGAAGGCUUGUAUGAAUGGUUGGACGAGAUAUUAGCUGUUUCAUAAAAAUUAUUUAUAGAAUUUUAUUUUUUAGUUAAAAAGCUAAAAUUGAAUUAAAAGACGAGAAGACCCUAUAGAUCUUUAUAUUCAUAUAUAUAUUAUUUAUUUAGAAUAAUUUAAAUAUUAUAUUUAUAAAUAUUUUAUUGGGGUGAUAGUAAAAUUUAAAAAACUUUUAUAUUUUAAAAACAUUAAUAUAUGAAAUAAUUGAUCCAUUAAUAGUGAUUAUUAAAUUAAGUUACCUUAGGGAUAACAGCGUAAUUUUUUUAGAGAGUUCUUAUCGAUAAAAAAGAUUGC
rnacentral:rRNA from 1 species